CCUCAGGAACACUGAUUCAGAAACUCUGAAGGUGGGCCGCAGCCAUCUGUGGUUUAACAAGCCCUCCAGGUGAUUCUGACUCAUGCUAAAGGUUGAGAACCACUAGCCUGUUGGAUCAAGUGGAAGCUCUUUUUCUGUUCUUUAAGGCUCAGUCAUCUGCUCUGGCCUGUGGGUUCCGUUCUGUUGGUACUUAUUAAACACCAAUUCUGUGCUGGGGAUUUACAUUUGCACUCUGGCUAGCCUGAAUCCUAAUUUGUUAUGCUUUGUAUUGCUCAGUAAGUUUUUUAUUUAUUGACAAUACGAUGUUCCAUAGAUAUGAAAGAAUAUCCCAUAUGAACGAGACUUAUUCUUUCAUAUACCAAAAUGUUAAAAAACUGCUAAAGAUUUUUGCAUUCCUGUACGAAUUAUCCUUAGCUAGGUAACAAAUAACCCCCAAAACUAGAGGCUUAAAACAACAAAUAUUUAUUAUCAUAGUUUCUGUAGGUCAGGAAUCUGAGUGCUAUUUAGCGGAGCACCUCCGUCUUCUCAAGGUCUCUUACAAGGCCCCAGUCAGGGUGUCAUUGGUGCUGUUGACUCAUCUGAUUUCAUGCUUACUCACUGGUUGUUGGCAAGGUUCCUUGUGGGUUGUUGGCCUUAGGGCCUCAGUUCCUCACUGGAUAUUGAUCACAGGCCUCUCUCAGUUCCUUGCCUCAUGAACCUCUCUACAGGCCACUCACAUCAUGGCAGCAGGCUUCCCUCAGAGCGAGCAAACAAGAGAGAGCUAGACUGGGGAGCAGUUAAAAAGGAGGAGGGAAACCUGAGCAGUGAGAGUGGCCCCACCAAGCUCCUUCCCCCGGAAACAAACUCAGCAUCUCAGCAUCAAGCCACCAGAGCUUUGAACCGUGCCUGUGAAUUGUCAUAUCAUCUACAGAUCCAAAGAUGGUCCCAAGAAUGGCCUUCCCAGAGGCAAAAGGCCCAUCAGAUGCCAGAUUAGACCUGCUGUUGUUACCACAUCCUCCUGACAAGACUCCAGAAUAUCUGUAAUGUUAAGGGUUGAACUUUGAGUGAACACCACCUGCUGAAGACCAAAUGCUCCCUGCAGUGUUUCCAAAAUGUGACCUGUGGACCAACCACCUAUCUCAGAAUUACCCAAGAUGCUUGUUACAAAUGUAAAUUCCAAGGCCCCACCAAGACCUACUAAUUCAGCAUCUCUGGGAGUGUGGCCAGGAGUCUGCAUUUUUAAUAAUACCCCAGAUAACUCUUAUUUAUACACACUGACAUUUGAGCUCUACCAUGUGUUACUGAAACUAGUAACUAGUUCCAGGGAACACACUAGUUCCCUGGAAGUGAGUAAAUGGUGAUAGUAAACUCUGGCCCAUAUUCAUUUCUUUGUUCAUUUAUUCAUUCAACAAAUAUUUUUAAAGACUUAUGUUCAAAGCAUUAUGUUAGGUGCUGUGGAAAUUUAAACUUAACCAGUUAGUACUUAUUUAACUAGUACUCAACUAUGCUCCAGGCAAGAUGUGAGGCACUGCAGAUCCAAUAUAAGUAAACAGUUCCUGACCCCAGAACCUGGACAGGGAUGGGGGCCCUCAUGGGACCAAUGUGACACAGUGUGACGCACACUGCUGAUGAUGUUAUGUACAAAAUAUACAACAGUGUUGGAGAAAUCAUUCUAUUAAAGGCCAGAAGUGAAGAUGGCAUUUGAAGUAGAUCCUGAAGAAUGAGUAGAAUUUUGCCUGGGGGAAUAGGCAAGGGUAAGAGGAGCAUGCUGAGUGGAGGGAGCAACCCCACGAAAGACACAGAGACACAAGAUGCAGGACAUACCUGGGGGUCCGAUGACAUGUUUGGUGUGACCUGCCUAUGGGCUGCCUGCCUAGAGGAAACCAACUGAAAAUGAAGCCAGAAACAGGCAGGUGCCAGGUUGGGAGGAACUGUAAAUGUUAUUCCAAGAGUUUGGACUUGGUACUAUACUACGAGCCAGUGGUUCCCAAACCUGGCUGUGCAGAUUCCUGAGCCGUAUCUACAUCCAGUCUGAUUCAAUCUGGGGUGGGAUCAAAGAGUGUAUUUUCACCAAAGUCUGCAGGCAAUGCACAGCCAUGGUUGGGACCCACUGUAAUGAAGAUUGCUAGAAGGACUUUCAGUAAGGAAAGUCAUUGUCACAGUUGGACUCUGGGCAAGCCUGAGACUAGAGUGAGGGGAAUGAGGCACCUACGGAGCAAAAUUUAAGGAGAGUUCCACUCUCAGCACUUGCAAGAUCCUGAGAGUAGUAUCUCCUUAAACUUCAUGCCUUUAGCACCCCACUUCACAUUCUAGUCCCAGCCAUGACUCAAGGGACUGUAGAGAGGCUUCCAAGGGGGGAGGGCAGUAGAAACAGGAUAGCCUUCUAGGUGAGAAAUGAUGGAGGCCUCCGGGAUGGAGAGAAGAUCAGAGACCCUUCCAGAGUAGCACCUGUAAGACUGGAUGUGACCCAGGGCAGCAGCCUAGAAGGAGACCAAGGUUGUCUGGCUUAGGCCCUGGAGCAUGAGAACCGUGCACUGACAUAGUGGGCAUGAAGUAGAUUUGGGGAGCAGAUAAGUGGUUCAUUUUGAGACAUGCUAUUUGAGGUUCUUGUAAGAGAUUCUUGGCAGAACUGUACCACCACUUAUUCCUAAAGAUAUAUUCAGGUACAUCCUAUUGCAAGAAUCUCAACAAAUUCAACAACCAAUUAUUAAGCACUUAGUAUGUACAAAGCCCUAUGUUAAACUGUGGGGGUGGGGGGCACAAAAAGUGAAUAAGACAUUACCCCAGGUCUCCAGAACCUCUUGUAUGCAAAUGAGUAAUUCUAGUGCAUUAGUCUAUAUUAGAUCCAAUGAUAAAAGUACAGAAAUAGUGCUGUGGGUACCAAGAAGAGGCGUAAGAAUGAUUCUGGAAGUGAGGAUUGGAGAAGGCUUUUUGGAAGCAAGAUCUGAGCUGGCUCCUAAAUGUAGCUAUAAGAGAAGAACAAGCAAAGCAGAGAAAAAUUUGAGUGAAAGCACAGAAGCAGGAUGUGCACAGAGUAUUAGAAGACUGCUUCAGAGACCAUGUUCCCACAUACAUUUAUGAAGCAUCUUAUGUAUGCUCAGUGCAGUGUUAGUGUGGCAGCCAUGAGAAUGAACCUUAUAUGCAUCCAGUUAUGAGGAAGCUCACUGACCAAGGGCCCAAGUGCCACACUCUGAAAUCCAUCACUGCCUUGUUGUGAGGGCCACACUUUUCCCAGGCUGCUCCCAUGCAGGGAUGGAAUCUCAGGGGUUCUGAGAGAAGCCCAUUUCUAGAAGAUACAGACUCAUCUGAUGGCCAGUUUUGGCUUGAGGAUGGCCAUCUAGGAUACUUCCACCCACCCUCCCUUUACUCGCCUUCUCUUCGGGUCAGAUUAUAUUGGAGCCUGGAGACUUUCCCAGCCUUACCAGCGACUUUCCCAUUUCCUUUCAAUACUAGCUUUUCCAAGGCCAGACUAACCCAUAUAGGUAUUGUGAGGGGGAAUAAUAUCAAGCUGAUUUCUUUUUCUCAGUUCUUUGCAUAUUGAAUUAUUCCUUAAAUAACCCUAAUAGGGCUCUCUGUUCAAAGGAAGUUAACAGAGAGAUAUUUUAUAAAAAGAAAGCAUUUCUGAAAAAGGACAAAUCACUCUGCCUCUUGAUGCUUUUGUGUGUAUCAAGAUUUCUCCAAGAGGGGUGUGGCUGGAAUGAAAACAUGUUGGUAGCCCAGCAAUAGGGUCAGCGGGGUGGUGGCUGAGCACAGUACUGAGCUGCGGAAUUUCUGCUGGCUGCUCAGUCCUGCCUCAUUGGCUCUGUGCUUUCUCAGGCAGUACAUGAUGGAUGUUUUAUAAGGUGCUCUGAUUUUUCAAAAAUCACGUUGGGUAGAGGAGCUUUGGAGCCAAGCAGGCCUUGGUUUAAACAGCAAAUGAGCAACUUUCUACAUAACCUCAAACUGGUUCCAUAACCUUUCUGAGCUGCUGUUACCUCAUCUACAAAAUGGGGAUAGCACAUGGCACAUGCACAGUUACUUGGAGGACUGGAAAUAAACUGUAGUGCACCAGGCACUCUAUAAUUGGGACUUCUUAUGUCUAUUAGUUUUAUCCAAAAAAUGGGGUUGAGUUUAGCAGUGUAGGGUGGAAUGCAAUCGAGGUCACACUGGAGAAUGUUUCAGGAUAAGGAUCCAGUGUUUCUCUCUAUCACAGCCAACAAGAGGAAACAGCUCAGAGAUCAGAAUGAAGAUCAUCCAACAACCUAAUAAUAGGGGUUGCCCUUUUGAAAUUCUUAAUUUUGGCUAUUAGAGCCAGAACCUUCUGUAGAUAUUAGUGUGGUGUUUAACAGCACACAAGUCUCCGCUUCAUUCCAUCAGGAUAGACACAGUGUUGAUUCAGUGGACCUAGGUGUUUCCAUGCCAGGUAUCUCUCAGCACAUAGAAUCAUAGAUUCAUUUUUCUGAUUCCCAGUAGAGGGCAAUUCCAGUUAUGUGUGCACUAGCAUGCAACCUAUAAGCCUCUGUGGUGGGUUAAAGAUGGCUGAAAAUUCUUCUAUAUUCCUUCCAUAGAUUGGUGGGUUCCGUUUCCCCUCCCCGAUGCUGAGUUGGCACAGUUGUAUUAGUCAGAGUUCUCAGAGAAACAGAAUAUAUACGUGUGUGUGUGUGUGUGUGUAGAGAGAGAGGAGAUUUAUUAUAAGGAAUUGACUUACAUGAUUAUGGAGGCUGAAAAGUCUCAACAUCUGUCAUCUGUAAGCUGGAGACCUAGGAAAGCCAGUGGUAUAAGUUCCAGUCUGAAUCCAAAGACCUGAGGACCAGGAGCAGUGAUGUAAGACUCAAUCCAAGAGCAGAGGGACACCAGUGUCCCCGCUGAAGCAGUUAGGCAGAGAGAGCAGAUUCUCCCUUCUUCUGCCUUUUUGAUCUACUGAGGCCUUCAGUGGAUUUGAUGAUGCCCACAUUAGGAAGGAUAAUCUGUUUUACUCAGUCUACUGAUACAAAUGCUAAUCUCAUGCAGAAACAUCCUCACAAAUAUACCCCAGAAUACUGUUUAAUCAAGUAUUUGGGCAUCUCAUGAGCUGGUUGACAGGAUACAUAAAAUUAGCCAUCCGAGAACAGUGAAAGGAAAGCUUUGCUAGUUCUGGGCUAGCCUUUAAGAGAACAGGCAGAUUCCUCCUUGCUCUUUUGGAACCCUGAGUAGCCACAGAACACGUCUGGCUGGCCUGCCAGAGAAACCAUGUGCAAAGGCCCUGAGAUUAUGUGGAGAGAGGACAGCCAAGCCAACCUUCCAGCCAGAGCCAUUCCUGCUAAGACGACAGGAAUGUGAGAAAAGCCACCUUGGACCCUCCAGAUCAGACUAGCCACAGCUAUAUACCCUGAGCAAUCCCAGGCAACCCCAGAUGGGGCAGAAGAAUCACCCGACUGAGAACUGCCAAACUUCCAACCAACAAAAUAAUGAAAUCUAAUGAAAUGGUGGUUGUUUCAAGCUACUAAAUUUUACAGUAGUUUGUCAUACAAAAAGAGAUAACCUUGAAGAAAAGUCUGCACUUGGAACUCCCUUGGUAUGGCACCCAUGCUACCCUAAGGAUUUGAGAUGACUCAGCGCCCCCAAACACUUUACUAGACUGAGAGUUCGAGACUUUGAGCGACUUUGAAUUUGUUGCCUGCUCACCAUCUCAGAGCUGAAGGUGUGUGUAGGGGGAAUACGCAAAGGAAUGCUCCCAGGCUCACUCUAGAAAUUGAUUAAUUUCCUUCAACUCUAACCUUCUCUCUUCUGACAAUUGUUUUUAAAAGUGGAAGACUAGGAUGGAAGAGAGCAGAAAGAGAAAGAAUGGAAUAUAGAAAAAAGUGAAAAUGGAAAGAAAAGGAAGUUGGAGUUCUCAGAUUGAAUGGCGUCUGCUCAAAAAUGAAGAAAUAAAAUCAAAACCUCCAAGCAAAGAAAUGAGCCAAUUCUCGCAACACCUAUUCAUUGUUCAACACCAACCACACAUUAGAGGAUAAAUUAAGACAAAUAGCUAAUGGCCAAGAGAACUUCUUUAUUCUCAGUUUCUAUUUGACAUCAGUUUCAUUUAUUCAUUCAUUCAGUCCACAAGCAUUUAUUAAAUAAUUGUUAUCUGUAGGAGAAACUAAAAAAAUAUGGUAUAAUUGAAAUAUCCUACUUCACCCAUUUGCAGCAGAUGAUAACUCUUCAGAGGUUUUAUUUCCAGAAUAUAUAAACAGCUCAUACAACUUAAUAACAAAAAGGGAAACAGCCCAAUCCAAAAAUGGGCAGAAGACCUAAACAAGCAAUCCUCCAGUGAAAACAUACAAAUGGCCAAUAGGCAUAUGAAAAAAUGCUCAAUAUCACUAAUUAACAGUGAAAUGCAAAUCAAAACUACAAUGAGGUAUCACCUCACAUCAGUCAAAAUGGCCAUCAUUAUAAAGUCCACAAACGAUAAAUGCUGGAGAGGCUGUGGAGAAAAGGGAACCCUCCUACACUGUUGGUGGGAAUGUAGUUUGGUGUAGCCAUUAUGGAAAACCAUAUGGAGAUUCCUCAAAAGACUAAAAAUAGACUUACCCUAUGAUCCAGCAAUCCCACUUCUGAGCAUAUAUCUGGAGGUAACUCUAAUUUUAAAAGAUACAUGCACCUCAGUGUUCAUAGCAGCACUAUAUACAAUAGCCAAGACAUGAAAGCAACCUAAAUGUCCAUUUUUAAAUGACUGGUUAAAGAAGUUGUGGUAUAUUUAUACAAUGGAAUACUACUCAGCCAUAAAAAAGAAUAAAAUAAUGCCAUUUGCAGCAACAUGGAUGGACCUAGAGAUCAUCAUUCUAAGUGAAGUAAGCCAGAAAGAGAAAUAAAAAUACCAUAUGAUAUCACUUAUAUGUGGAGUCUAAAAAAGAAAAAAGAGGACACUAAUGAACUCAUCUACAAAACAGAAACAGACUCACAGACAUAGUAAACAAUCUUAUGGUUACCGGGGGAAAGAGUAUGGGAAGGGAUAAACUUGAGAGUUUGAGAUUUACAAAUGUUAGCUAUUAUAUAUAAAAAUAGAUUUUAAAAUUUCUUUUGUAUAGCACAGGGAACUAUAUUCAAUAUCUUGUAAUAACCUUUAAUAAAAAGAAUAUGAAAAUGAAUAUAUGUAUGUAUAUGCAUGACUGGAACAUUGUGCUGUACAAUAAAAUUAUGCACUCCCAGAAUGGAGGAAAUCCAUUCUUCUCUCCUGGGGUUCCCUAUCUGUGAUACAUUCAAGAAGCCCACAAGUACUUAGCCAGAUCACUUCAAAGAAAAUCCAUUCGACAGCCAGAAGAAACUGUUCUUCACCACUGUUGCUGUAGCCAUAGCUUCACUGUAGAGCUGCUGAAAACAGGGAGUCCAUCAAAUUCUUUCACCUAAAGAAAUGCUACAGUGGGUAAGGUCCAUGCCAGAAAAUGUUGAAGUUAGUGUGUCCACCUUGCCACCAAAGCCAGUAGUUCACUACUGGCCCUGUGCCUUGAGGAGUCGCCAUUGAAUCUGAGGUUCACUACCAAUUUGGCAGUGGUUUUUCAGAGUACAGGGUGGACAAGAACAUUCCUUCUUCCAAACGCAUCAUCCACUUCAGGUGCAUCAGGCACCAGUGUUAUAGAUCUUUAGGGAAAGAGCCACAUACCAAAAGUCCUCCCCUGCUAAGGAAUGCCAGGGAAGUUCCAAAGUAACCACAAGAUAUACCCCAAAUCAGAUCUCUUCCAUGAAUCAUCAGAUCAGAUUCCCAAAGAGGAGAGGAAGUCCUUCCCUCCCCAGUCCAAGCCUGCUAAUUUUCCUGUCCCGGUGUUAACCACUUGUCAUCCCCUAUGGUUUCAACAGAGAGAGUCCUUGGCCACUUCAUUACAAUAAAACAUUGUCUCCUCUCCUUUGGAGAGGGUAUACACAUACAAAAACAGGCAACAAUAAAGGAGAAUAAUGCAUCAAAAGAUUAGAACAGACUCCAAAAAGGGUUGUAGUUCAACCUCCCCAUUAUGCCAACAGGGAAACAGAGGCUCAGAAACUUAACCAAUCUGUGCAAAGCCAGGUACAACAUUUGAUAGUUGAAUUCAAAUCCUCAACCCAAGCUCAUUCCUCCAGAUUUUUACAUAACUGCUUCUCUUGGCCUCUAAAUGAAACUAAAAGACACUUAAAUAAUUUGGGGGCUUUACUUUUUUUCUUUGCCGAAGAGAAACAGAAACAUUCCUCGUUAAGCCAAGGCAGGGUCUGACAGAGCUUGGCAGCUGGAAGUGUCUUUCUAAAUCUGGAAACACAACAUCUCCUUUGAAAAGUGGGAGCAACAAUUUGUGCCUCUUAAAUGUGAAGAAACAUAUUUCUUUGUGAGAAAAAAAUAACUGCAGUGAAAUUGCUGAAGAAAAAUAUUGGGCAAGGCAGUCAGCAAAACAAGAGAUACUGAGUUUGUCAGAACAUCCAGUUUAUUCAUGUGCCAAAAAGGGGGAAAAUACCAGCAAAUUAUUUUCCAUUUGCAAAUAUGUUUUGUUAAUUUUCCCAGAAGAUAAAUAUACAGGAACUCAUGAGUUACAAAAAUUGAAUGCCCAAGUAUUUCAUAAAGAGAACAGGCUGAAAUUGGGCUAAAGAGGAAAAAAAGAAUCUUUGUUCACUCUACAAGAAAAUCUUCCCACCAUCACCAUCCAGAAUCAUUGAUGGGCUGAGUCAGAUACACAAGAUCACUGAUUUAGGGGAGAUCUCAG